UUGUAAGAUAAGAUACUUAUGACUUUUUACUUAAAAUCAGUCGUAAACCGAUUAUAGCAUCGUGUUUAUUUAAGCGCAAUAAAAAGAACCUGAGCCAUUUGCCCAGGUUCUUUUUUGU
rnacentral:sRNA from 1 species